rnacentral:rRNA from 1 species
GACGAACGCUGGCGGCGUGCUUAACACAUGCAAGUCGAACGGUGAAGCACCUUCCUUUUGGUGGGUGUGGAUGAGUGGCGAACGGGUGAGUAACACGUGAGUAGCCUGCCCCCUUCUUCUGGAUAACCGCAUGAAAGUGUGGCUAAUACGGGAUAUUCUGGGUCUGUCGCAUGGCGGGCCUGGGAAAGAUAUUGUUUCGGUGGGGGAUGGGCUCGCGGUCUAUCAGCUUGUUGGUGGGGUGAUGGCCUACCAAGGCGGUGACGGGUAGCCGGCCUGAGAGGGUGGACGGUCACACUGGGACUGAGACACGGCCCAGACUCCUACGGGAGGCAGCAGUGGGGAAUAUUGCACAAUGGGCGCAAGCCUGAUGCAGCGACGCCGCGUGAGGGAUGGAGGCCUUCGGGUUGUAAACCUCUUUCGCCAGUGAAGCAGGCCUGUCCCUUUUGUGGGUGGGUUGACGGUAGCUGGAUAAGAAGCGCCGGCUAACUACGUG